GAGCGACCUCUUUUUGUUAUUGUCGACAUUUUGUCAUUCUGUUUCUGAAAAUCUUCGUCGCUCUUCUUCAUGGGUUUUGCCCUAAUUUUUCAAGGCUAACUUUAGUGAAAUCUUCUUCACUCUUCAGGAUUUUUGACACUCUAAAGCUGACAUUAAUACUUUCUCGUGACUCCGGCCGACGACGACCGUGUAGACUCCAGAAAGGGACAACGACGUCGACGACGCAAACCAAAUUGAAGUGUCGACGAUUCUUCAAUCUGUUCUGUUCAAGUUUGCAGAUGGAGGGAAUCUAUUCAGUGUAAGUUUUAGAUGGUGAAUUUAGAUGGGGAAUAUUUUUGAGACUGUGUGGUAAUGGCCGUUGACCAGCAAAGAAAGAAAGUUAAUGGUGCAAGUAUGACAUGUUUUAGUUCUCUGCAGCAGUAUAGACUGAAGAAGAGAAAAUUAGAGUCACCACACAAGGCUUGGAGAAUUUGAGUAAGGUUUUCUCUUACCAGGUUUACUUUACUUGUUCAGGCAAUCCUCAUCCUGCUGCUAAAAGCUGAUAAGAAAGCGUACUAAUCUGAGUUUCAGAAUUAUCACAAUGAGUUGUCAAGCAUAGCCAGUUCCUCGUACAUGUGAUAUGCUGUUGUUUGACUCUGUGGAUUUGCCCAAAAUAUGUAGUUUUGAUUCACUCUGCCUUUGGCAGUACUAUCCAGUAUGUACAGAAGUUGAACGACAAAUGGGAAAACUGCAAAGAUCUAAAAGAGGAACUUUUGCCCAAGUUUGGAAAGCUUGAUACAACAUGCCUGAAGUUUUUCCAUGAUUGCUUUUUUUAAGGGCUGACUCUUUGACAUGCAUAAUUGGUCACUUAUAAGCCAGAGAGGAUUAUGUUCAAGUAUUGCUAUGUUUCACAUGGCACAUUAUUAAGCAGAAAAAUUCUUCAAAUUUCUUUUA